CCUACGGGGGGCUGCAGUGGGGAAUAUUGCACAAUGGGGGAAACCCUGAUGCAGCGACGCCGCGUGGGUGAAGAAGCGCCUCGGCGCGUAAAGCCCUGUCAGCAGGGAAGAAAAUGACGGUACCUGAAGAAGAAGCCCCGGCUAACUACGUGCCAGCAGCCGCGGUAAUACGUAGGGGGCAAGCGUUAUCCGGAUUUACUGGGUGUAAAGGGGGCGCAGACGGCGUUGCAAGCCUGGAGUGAAAGCCCGGGGCUCAACCCCCGGACUGCUCUUGAAACUGGGCGGCUGGAGUGCAGGAGGGGCAGGCGGAAGUCCUGGUGUAGCGGUGAAAUGCGUAGAUAUCAGGAGGAACACCAGUGGCGAAGGCGGCUUGCUGGACUGCAACUGACGUUGAGGCUCGAAAGCGUGGGGAGCAAACAGGAUUAGAUACCCCUGUAGUC
rnacentral:rRNA from 1 species